GCAUCCGUAGCUCAGCUGGAUAGAGUACUCGGCUACGAACCGAGCGGUCGGAGUUCGAAUCCUCCCGGAUGCACCA
rnacentral:tRNA from 1 species